rnacentral:tRNA from 1 species
GUUUGCGUCUCGAAGGUAGAGUAAUUCUUUUUGUUG